rnacentral:rRNA from 1 species
UAAUACGGAGGGUCCAAGCGUUAUCCGGAUUUAUUGGGUUUAAAGGGUGUGUAGGCGGAAAGAUCAGUUAGUGGUGAAAUCCUGCAGCUUAACUGCAGAACUGCCAUUGAUACUGUUUUUCUUGAGUAUAGUUGAAGUGGGCGGAAUGGGUCAUGUAGCGGUGAAAUGCAUAGAUAUGACUCGGAACACCGAUUGCGAAGGCAGCUCACUAAGCUAUUACUGACGCUGAGGCACGAAAGCGUGGGUAGCGAACAGGAUUAGAUACCCUGGUAGUCCACGCCGUAAACGAUGAUUACUCGAUGUUGGCGAUAUACUGUCAGCGUCCAAGCGAAAGUGUUAAGUAAUCCACCUGGGGAGUACGGUCGCAAGAUUG